rnacentral:tRNA from 1 species
UGCAUAACUCAGUGGUAGAGUGCUUGCCUAGCAUGCAUGAAGCCCUGAGUUCAAACCCCAGUACUGCAA